GACGAACGCUGGCGGCGUGCCUAAUACAUGCAAGUCGAGCGGAUGGAAGGAAGCUUGCUUCCUGAAGUCAGCGGCGGACGGGUGAGUAACACGUGGGCAACCUGCCCCUAAGAUCGGGAUAACUUCGGGAAACCGGAGCUAAUACCGGAUAUGAUUAUGUCUCACAUGAGACAUAAUGGAAAGACGGUUCCGGCUGUCACUUAGGGAUGGGCCCGCGGCGCAUUAGCUAGUUGGUGAGGUAACGGCUCACCAAGGCGACGAUGCGUAGCCGACCUGGGAGGGUGAUCGGCCACACUGGGACUGAGACACGGCCCAGAAUCCUACGGGAGGCAGCAGUAGGGAAUCUUCCGCGAUGGACGAAAGUCUGUCGGGGCAACGCCGCGUGAGUGAAGAAGGUUUUCGGAUCGUAAAACUCUGUUGUUAGGGAAGAACAAGUACCAUAGUAACUGAUGGUACCUUGACGGUACCUAACCAGAAAGCCACGGCUAACUACGUGCCAGCCGCCGCCGUAA
rnacentral:rRNA from 1 species